rnacentral:rRNA from 1 species
AACGAACGCUGGCGGCGUGCCUGAGACAUGCAAGUCGUGGGAGAAAGUCGGAGCAACCCGGCUAGUAAACCGGCGCACGGGUGAGUAACACGUGGACAACCUGCCUUGGAGUUCGGGAUAACCCGUCGAAAGACGGACUAAUACCGGAUAUGACCACGGGGAGUUCGCUCUCUGAGGUAAAAGAUGGCCUCUGCUCCUGCAAGCUAUCUCUUCGAGAGGGGUCCGCGUCCUAUCAGCUAGUUGGUGAGGUAACGGCUCACCAAGGCUAAGACGGGUAGCUGGUCUGAGAGGAUGGUCAGCCACACUGGGACUGAGACACGGCCCAGAGUCCUACGGGAUGCAGCAGUCAGGAAUAUUGCGCAAUGGAGGAAACUCUGACGCAGCGACGCCGCGU